rnacentral:tRNA from 1 species
GGAUAUAGCUCAGUUGGUAGAGUGCUUGCCUCACAUGUACAAGGCCCUGGGUUCAAUCCCCAGCACCA